GCCAUACUCAUCACAUAACAAGCAAUUUCCUACAGAGAUAACUCCUCUCUUAGUCAGAUUCUUCUUAGUCAAGAUUUUGUCAUAAUAGGUGAACCAAAAGAAUAAUUUUGCCUUCUCCGAAAUUGGGAGACUGCAGAACCGUUUAUCUAGAGGUGAGAGCACACCACCAUGCAUGAAAAAAUUGUAGCAUGAGCGUACACUAUAAAUACCAUUGGAGCUCUACUUCUAAUGUUAGGUAUCAGGGUCUGGGAUGAGGG
rnacentral:lncRNA from 1 species